UACGUAGGGUGCAAGCGUUAAUCGGAAUUACUGGGCGUAAAGCGUGCGCAGGCGGCGCGUUUAAGACAGGUGUGAAAGCCCCCGAGCUUAACUUGGGAAUUGCGCUUGUGACUGGCGUGCUGGAGUGUGGCAGAGGGAGGUGGAAUUCCACGUGUAGCAGUGAAAUGCGUAGAGAUGUGGAGGAACACCGAUGGCGAAGGCAGCCUCCUGGGCCAGCACUGACGCUCAUGCACGAAAGCGUGGGGAGCAAACAGG
rnacentral:rRNA from 1 species